UACGGGGGGGGCAAGCGUUGUUCGGAAUUACUGGGCGUAAAGGGCUCGUAGGCGGCCAACUAAGUCGGACGUGAAAUCCCCAGGCUCAACCUGGGAACUGCGUCUGAUACUGGAAAGCUCGAGUCCGGGAGAGGUGAGUGGAACUGCGAGUGUAGAGGUGAAAUUCGUAGAUAUUCGCAAGAACACCAGUGGCGAAGGCGGCUCACUGGCCCGGUACUGACGCUGAGGUGCGAAAGCGUGGGGAGCAAACAGG
rnacentral:rRNA from 1 species